rnacentral:rRNA from 1 species
AGUUCACGCGACGACGGGUAGCCGGCCUGAGAGGUGACCGGCCACACUGGGACUGAGACACGGCCCAGACUCCUACGGGAGGCAGCAGUGGGGAAUAUUGCGCAAUGGGCGAAAGCCUGACGCAGCGACGCCGCGUGAGGGAUGACGGCCUUCGGGUUGUAAACCUCUUUCAGCAGGGACGAAGCGAAAGUGACGGUACCUGCAGAAGAAGCACCGGCCAACUACUGAGCCAGCCGCGG